GACGAACGCUGGCGGCGUGCUUAACACAUGCAAGUCGAACGGAAAGGCCCUGCUUUUGUGGGGUGCUCGAGUGGCGAACGGGUGAGUAACACGUGAGUAACCUGCCCUUGACUUUGGGAUAACUUCAGGAAACUGGGGCUAAUACCGGAUAGGAGCUCCUGCUGCAUGGUGGGGGUUGGAAAGUUUCGGCGGUUGGGGAUGGACUCGCGGCUUAUCAGCUUGUUGGUGGGGUAGUGGCUUACCAAGGCUUUGACGGGUAGCCGGCCUGAGAGGGUGACCGGCAACAUUGGGACUGAGAUACGGCCCAGACUCCUAAGGGAGGCAGCAGUGGGGAAUAUUGAACAAUGGGCGGAAGCCUGAUGCAGCAACGCCGCGUGCGGGAUGACGGCCUUCGGGUUGUAAACCGCUUUCGCCUGUGACGAAGCGUGAGUGACGGUAAUGGGUAAAGAAGCACCGGCUAACUACGUG
rnacentral:rRNA from 1 species